UCCAAAAUGCCUGGGGGGCCAGGAAAGCCUUGGACAAGAACAACCGCCAGAGGGCAGGGAGCACAGGCCUGAGGCCUGUUGGCCAGACUGCAGCCCGUGGGGCCCAGGGAUCUUCCUGGCCAGCUGAGGAUUUGAAAAGUGUAUGUUUGGGAGCAGGAAACCUUCAGACAAGACCUUCCUCCAGAGGGAGGAACGCAGUCCUGAGGCCUGUAUGACAGGCUGCAGCCUGUGGGGCCCAGUGUGUUUCCCCACCCCCUCGCUCCCCCAACCCUGGGAGUGAGCAGGAGAUUGGAUCCAGGAGCUGAAGCUGGGGACGACAGAGAGACAGAGAGAAUUAAAUCACUUCUGCCGCGAG